UCUUUCAGCCGAGCUGGGGUUGAGAAGGCUCCGCGGCCGCCAGCCCCAUGCACCACGCAAAACCAUCUGAGACAGAACAGAAAGAAGAAAAGCACCACGAUGACUAAAAAUAGCGAGCGAGCAAAGCCCCACCGCUCCUAACAAUCACACUGAAAUUGCACACACACUCACGCGCGCGCACACGCACGCACGCACACACACGUUGUCUAUUGGGGUUACUGAUAAUUGCCAACUGAGACCUCUCUUAGGCUGAAGCAUCCCGGUUCAGCCACAGCUCUGCUCCUCCCGAAGGCCCCGCACUCCAGCCGCACUCUAGACAACGCUGUGGCUGCUGCUGCUGCUGCUGCUGCUGCUGCUGCUGCUGUUACAGCUGUGCCUUCGGAGGCCUGAGGUAAAAGCCAGCAGGCAGUGUUGUCCCGGGGCCGGGCUGGUGGCCUGAGUGGGCCAGGGCCACAGCAGAGCCGGGGAGACCACAGAAAGUUUCUUUAGGAGCUGGAUGAGUGGAGGAGGAGCAGGGUUCUCAACUUCUAGGGGUCCUAGCCAGCCAUGACUUCAGGAAGACUGGGGGUUUUCCUGGGAGCUCCACUGGCCGCUGACCAUGGAGUUCAGGAGCUGAGCUAAGGACCUGGCUGGCCGCCGUGCUGUCAGGAGCCUUCCCUCUGCUGUGCACAGUCUGAGUGGGAACUAGCCUUCUGAGCCCCUAGUCCUGCCUAAGAGUUGUGUACUGGAAGGUGGGGCCUAGUCCUGCUCCCAAGAAGCUGCACUGGAGGGAGGGAGAGAGGGAGGGAGUGGGGAGAUACUCAGGCUCAGGAAAAGGCUCCAACCUACUGACUCAGCUGCUCUGAAUUCAAAUGCAGAGCUGGAAGAGACCAGAGCUAGAGUUUUCGAAGUCCAGCCCUCUGGGAGUGAGGGCACAGGACAGGGCAAUCCUACAGGCAGCUGAGUGGAAGUUUCAGGCCUCCCUCAGCCCAGUUCUGCUUCCUGCAGGUGGGAAAAUCUGCUGCCUGCUUCGGACUGGGUCACAGUCACCCUGCCGGAGGACCGCAGCCCCUGACCUGCAGAGACCCUGAAAUGCCAGCCCUCUGGUGUGUGCCCAAUGGGCCGUGACCCACAGCUGCAGAACCAGGUGUGGUUAGCUUUCCAAAGACACAGGGGCAGAAGUGGGUCUGAGUCCUGUGACAUCCCAGGGAGCCAGCCUCAUCUAGAACUUCUGUAAACCUGGGACAUGUAGAAUGACGAGUCCUGGGACAUCCUGGAUGCUUAUGACCCAGUUUUCCCAAGGAAACAUGAAACAAGGGUGGAACUCCAACCCUAAGAUGAACUGUUUCUGUAUUAAGACUGUUCAGAGGCACUGGAGGCCUUUUAAAAUAAAACUACUAAACAGGAAGCUGGUUAUUUACAAAUACAAUUGCCCUAGACAAACCACAUUCCACGGAUGUAAUUCAUUAAUGGAAUUUGUUCCUUUUCUUCCCUUUGGAAAGAGAAUUUUAGCUUUUAAACACAGCUGGAGCUCAGAGGCCAGAAAGGGAAGCAGUAUACUUACCUGUCCUUUGGAAGGAAGGGCUGCUGGAUUCCUGGGUCUGGUGGUGUUGAAAGCUCUAACCCAAAAUGCAGGGAGAGGUUUCCUUUUUUACUUUUUAAUAAAAAACUUUUCCAAUUAUGUUUGCAGUCACUAGAGUCUUCCAGGAGAAAUGUGCUGGAGAUGGGACACUUGUUGGGGUGUGUCCGUAUGUGUGUGCACACACGCGCGUGUGCGAACAGAACUAAACUCUCAGUGGUGGGAGUUGGAAAGAAUGUAGGGACGCUGCAUCUGCAGGAUAUACCCCAUCAUUGUCAUUUCUGCAGUGUCACAGAGCACUGCAGGCACCCCCUCCCAGGGAAAAGAUGGGCUCAGGAAGAGGAGAGCCUGGGUCUGGUCUUUCUGUAUUCAGGAAGUUCUUCCUGGGUGACCCUUCCUCUGGGAGAGACAGAGGGCUGUUGUCUGCUGGAGAGCUGUCCAGAGACAGCAGGAUCAGGUGUGACUGCUCCAGGGCGCACCGUGAGCCUAAGUAAACAUGAGACAUCCAGGACGCACCUGAGUGAUACAUGGGCAGUGUGUGUUCCCCCUUCCAGACCUGGUGACAAAGCACAACAAGGGUGGCCACCAGGGCUCCAGUUUCAUUCCUGGAGCUGCAGCACAAUAGGACACACACUGGCAGGGAAGGAAAAGCACUUUUUAAUUUUUUUUUUUUUUAAAGGACAAGAGGUGUUUUGAGCUGGAGACUUCCUGGGCGGUCACAGUAGCUCUGUUCUCCAGGAAGGUUGGCAAGCCCUCAUUUCAGCGAGCUCCUGGUACUGACACUGAAAUAAACAGUGUCCAAACUAUGCUGCUCCCGGCCUGGGAUGGACAGGUCCUCAAGGGCUGGGCACUGGUUCCCAGCUGCCCCUGCAAGGGUCAUGCAGGGACUUCCAAGGCUGGAAACGGCCUACAGAGGGAAAGAUAAAUUUAGUAGACCUAACCAGAAAGUACAGGUUCGCCAGAAAUCAGCAAAAGGAAAAUGAACGUCUUAGUAGCUUGGUCUUGAGAAUCUUUGGGAUACAAUAGUGGAGAAAAGCCCUAAAGCCUGCAGCAAACAAAAUAACGCUUAAGGAAUGACUGACUUUUCAUUAACAUUUUAAAAGAGAAAUCCUGUGGAUUUCAAGAGCUCUCUGGCCCUCCUGUUUUUUACUUUAACACACCCAGGAGAUGUCUGCCAAACAGGGUUUUCAGAGUGUUCCAGUCCUGGGGAAAGGUGUUUCACGUUCCCAAGAACUAUUUAACAGUUGUCCUGCAUGAUUUUUUGUUGGGAGCGCUGGGGAUCAAACCCAGGUCCUCACAGGCUCAGAAAGCCCGCAGCCACUGAGCCCCAUGCCCAGCCGAGAGGAGUGUGCAGCGAUUGGUUCGGGGUCCACGCAGAGUGGGCAGUAGGAAAGGGAGUCCAGGGGCACCGCGUCGCCCACACCUGGAGCUGGGGGCAGCCAGCAAGGCUUAUAUGCUCCCGCCGCGCAGGCUUCCUUCCCAGGGUCCAGAAGGGGCUCGCAGGGGGGACGGAAGUGUCGGGAGCUGGUUACCUCUCCUCUUUGUUCCAGGCCUGGGACUAGAGCUACCAGGAGGGGCAUGAAAGCCCCCAGGGAAUGGAGCCACCACUCCCUUUGCAGCGCCCGCUAGAAUCCCCAGGGCUGGCGGAUGUGGGCCCAAAAAAGGUAACCCAAGGAAUCCCCGUGUUAGUGUUGUGUAACGGAGCCCUCCGCCGGCGGCCGGGAGAGGUGCCAAGCUCGAUUUUCUCCAAGGACCCUGUGCAGGCCUCUGCCUAGCGCGGAGACGCGAAGACCCAGGACUGGCCGCCGUGGUGGAAACAGCCCUGCUGCGACCCUCCCGCCCGCCACGCUGGACUGAGUCACGGACACGCAGACAGAGGAAGGACAGGGACCUGGCAGCCCAGCAGGACCCAGCUCUGCGGUGAGGGUGCAAACUAGGAUCACUGCUGACUUGAAGGACAUGUCUCAACCUUCCUACAAUGCAAGAGAAGCCACAAAGAAGACAAGGAAGGAGGUGGCCUAGGCUAUCCCAGCUGAACAGGGGUCAAGAUGACAUUAGGUGGACUCUGGCUGGUCAGGGACAGUUCCUGUGGAGGAAGAAACUCAUCUGCACUGACGGUUGGCUGAGGACAGUCCACCCUUCUUCCCCCAUUCCCUGAACCUGGGCAAGGACCACCUAUUGGCGCAGGAGGGAGUAGGUUUGCCAGCACCAUGGAGGUCCUCUGCUCUCCUCCUUAUAGGUCAGUUCUCAAGCAAGUUGCAAGUUAAGAGAUCUGCCUUCAGCCUGCCCAGGUUCUGCCCCAUGCUGGAGCAAGCAGGUCUUCCUGGAGGGAUGGGGAAUCCUAAAAGCAGGAGAGGGGAGAGGGUCUAGGGACCCAGUGGACUCAGGCAUCCCACAGUCUUCCUGCAGAGAGCUGUGCUCCUUCUCUGCACAGAGCCCUAGAUCUCUUGCAGGAACACAGGCCCAGCCCUGCGGGCCCUCAGCUCUGCCCCAAAUCCCCCUCCACUUGUCCAAGGCCUCCUGCAGGGAGCCCUGGCCUCAGGCUGGUCUGCCCCACCCACCCAGCCAGGAGCAGACAAGCCCUAAACUGGAGUUGUUCCUGAAGCCCCUGUUGGGGGUCAUAGGGAGCCCUUUCUCAGCCUCUUGCUCCCUUUUAGGGGUUCUUGGGGUCAAUAGUAGUUCAUCCUCAGGGUGCCUCUGUGGGGGGAGGCUAGAAGGGAAUUUAGGUUGGCCCAUUAAGCUCUCCUGCCGAAAUGGGCCUCACCUACCCACCUCAUGAAGCCGUGGCUCUUUUUGCUGGGGGGGGGGGCUCCAAGUCCAGCAAACACUCUCCAACAACCUGGGUCAGGCCAUAAACCAGUCUGUCCCUAGGGAGCUUCCCAAGAGCAGUGAGGACCCCAAGCCUAAUCCCAGGCUAAUCCCAGCCUCCUGAUACCUAUGCAGGAUCCCUUCUUGCCCUGCACUGUUGCUUGGCGAUGCCCCACUGCAGGGCAAGUAGCUGAGGCCAAAUGGGAACCAGGAGGCACUGCGGAGCGUCUCAGCAAGACGUGAGGACACCAGUGCCUAGAAACUGCCCGGGCCACGCAGGUCUCCAUGCCACACAGCCUGGUAAAGCACCAGAGCCAGAUGUGCUUCCAGCUGCUGUGGACAUCCACAGGAAGUUCACGGUCAGGGGCCUGGAAGGCCAAGCCCUAGGACUGCAGGACAUCCUGCUGAGAGGCCCCUCCUCGCCCGGCAGAGAUAUCCCCCGCGUCCUCCUGCUUGGGCUCUGGUCGCCAUGCACCCUUCCCUCCUCCCAUGCCUGUCCCUUUCAGCCCAGCACUGAGCUUGGCCCCGUUUGGGUGAGGAGAUGGCCCACACACAGACAAGAAAGGUCCAAUGCAGACGGUUCGCAGGAGACUUUCAUUUUUCAAAGGUCCCUUGAUCAGCCAGCAUGUGACCCCCCAAAGCUAUUUCAACUCAGGAGCUGGAAAGAGGAAGCACACAGAGAAGGGGACCCAAUUCCUUCCUCUGCCUUUGGCUUUGGGUCCACAGCCUGCUGUCCCUAAAUUCCCAGCCAAACCCUAGAGCCGCAGCCCCACCAGCAGAGUUACAGCUUUUGUCCUUUAAAACAGCGGGAUUUCCAGCAAUACCAGAGAGCCUCGAGGGAGAGCCCCCAGAGAGAGCCCCGAGAGAGCACGCCCUUCCCCUCACCCUCCCCCAAUCCCACCUCCAAACCGAGGAUCCACACCACCACCAUCAGCCACAUUUCGCCUAAUGUUACAGUGCCAGGAACCAAGACUCCAUAAUUUACCAGAAGCAGCCCUAAACUUUACUGACAGAAAAAACUCCUUCUUCACCCAUGGGUCCCUCCUGGCCGACUCUGGGCAUCUCUUUGGUGAGAGGAGUAGUAAAAAUCUUAGGUAGCAAAAUUUUUGAAAAGCUGCAUUAUCUUGGCCGAGUUUGGAGGCCUCAGCUCUAACCAUUGGGAAUAAAAUCACUGAUGGUCAUAAUUGGUUUUUGA